UACAGAGGUCUCAAGCGUUUGUUCGGAUUCAUUGGGCGUAAAGGGUGCGUAGGCGGCGCGGUAAGUCGGGUGUGAAAUCUCGGAGCUUAACUCCGAAACUGCAUUCGAUACUGCCGUGCUUGAGGACUGGAGAGGAGACUGGAAUUUACGGUGUAGCGGUGAAAUGCGUAGAUAUCGUAAGGAAGACCAGUGGCGAAGGCGGGUCUCUGGACAGUUCCUGACGCUGAGGCACGAAGGCCCAGGGGGAGCAAAACGGG
rnacentral:rRNA from 1 species